UUACGGCCAUAUCACGUUGAAACACCAGUUCCCGUACGAUACCGGACGUUAAGCAAUGUCGAGCCUGGUCAUUACUUGGUGAGUGACCGUUUGAAUAUACCCGGUGG